rnacentral:rRNA from 1 species
UACGAAGGGAGCUAGCGUUGUUCGGAAUCACUGGGCGUAAAGCGCACGUAGGCGGAUGUGUCAGUCAGGGGUGAAAUCCCGGAGCUCAACUUCGGAACUGCCUCUGAUACAGCACGUCUUGAGUCCGAUAGAGGUGGGUGGAAUUCCUAGUGUAGAGGUGAAAUUCGUAGAUAUUAGGAAGAACACCAGUGGCGAAGGCGGCUCACUGGUCCGGUACUGACGCUGAGGUGCGAAAGCGUGGGGAGCAAACAGGG